GACGAACCGUACGAACGUUAUUCGGAAUCACUGGGCGUAAAGGGCGCGUAGGCGGCGCGGGCAGUCAACGGUGAAAGCUCGGAGCUCAACUCCGAGUCGGCCGUCGAUACUCCCGUGCUUGAGCACUGUAGAGGCAGAUGGAAUUCCGGGUGUAGCGGUGGAAUGCGUAGAGAUCCGGAAGAACACCGGUGGCGAAGGCGGCCUGCUGGGCAGUUGCUGACACUGAGGCGCGACAGCGUGGGGAGCAAACAGG
rnacentral:rRNA from 1 species